GUGUGGUCGCCCUGUUUUCCUCUUGGCUCUGAAGGACAUAGGUGCUUGAAGAGUGCGCUGUGAUGUCAGAGAUAAAGUGAAUUGCGCGGCCAACACCACCAGGUAAAUGUCACCUUGUGCCUGGCAGACUGCUCCUACCUGCUUCUUGUGAAUUGGUCGGAUCAUCGGCCUCAAUGUAGAGCAGCUCGAAGCCUCCUAGUACCGGGUGAGGCAAAGUCCAUUCUCAAGCCCGAUCACCCAGAUGGAACAGAGAAAUCUGUUACCGGCCUCUGAACAUCAACAGCGCAUAAUUAGCAGCUGCUAAAAUAAUGGAAGUCAAUUGAACAAAAAUGUGGCGCGUUCUGCCUUCAUUUAUUAAAUACCUUAUGUUUCCAAACACUGUGCUCCACAGCGGCUGAAGAGCCUUGGAGGGGCAUCGCAGCAAGUAUCCCUCCCUGGGCACCAGACACAGAGAACCGACUGACUUUUGUGAUGAACUUUCCAAACGAGCUGUUGCUACAGCCGACCAACCGGCAAGCCGGCCGAGGGACCCGACUACUUCCCCUGGGCCCGACGACAGAAUAGAUUUGUCGCAAGCAAACUGUAAGUGGGCUGCCAUCAUCAAAGAAAUCAGCAGCCCGUCUCCCUGGGAGACUGCAACCCCCCACAUUUAUCUAAAUUAUCUCGGUAAUAUGACAGAGUGAUUGCUCACUAAUGGUCAAUAACAGUUUUCUUUGUCAUUUUCCUAGUCAUUACCUCCUGAGAAUGAACUCCCGAGUACACUGCUUGCAGCCCGUGACUGGAAUGUUAAUUUCGUCCUGCGUCCCCGGCUGGCUCCCUUCAACGACAAUCUUCCUUUGAAGACGUGGAUGACAUAGUAAAACCGAUUGCACUUGAGAGCCGAUUCCAUGACUAUUUUGCUGCAACAGCGUGAGUACAGGAGCCCCUGGUCCUUUCUGAGGAGGGGGGUGACCAGCUAUUUGUUGUAUAUGUGUUUUGCUAUCCAAUGAAAGCUAGAUCAGACCUCCAAAAAUUAAAAGUCCACAAAGGAGAGUGGUAAGAAAGCAACUUUUUUUUUUUUCUUCCAAAGAAAUAGAAGAUUUUUUUUUUUUUAAUGAAGAUUUAAAAAUGUAGAACUGGCUGAUUCAGGGAAAGUAGGUCACUGUAGUUCGCAUCGCCGCUGGGCUGGGCAGCCCAGUAACAGGAGCCAGAACAAUUAGCCAGGACCUCAGAAAGGUAGCUGCAGCAGCCUCUCCAGGCUAGCUGUGUCUGCCAUGCACCCCUCUCCCCCACUUUUCCCUACCCCCCCCUCCAGAAUUACCAUCUCCACGAAAAUCAACUGAAUAAAAGUAUUAUAGAAAUAAAGACCUAGGAAUAU
rnacentral:lncRNA from 12 species